AACCUCCGCAAUGUGAGAAAUCGCGACGGGGGGAUCCCAAGUGCCAUUCUUAACGGGAUGGCUUUUCAUUAGUGUAAAGAGCUUUUGGAAUAAGAGCUGGGCAAGACCGGUGCCAGCCGCCGCGGUAACACCGGCAGCUCUAGUGGUAACAAUUUUUAUUGGGCCUAAAGCGUUCGUAGCCGGUUUGAUAAGUCUCUGGUGAAAUCCUGUAGCUUAACUGUGGGAAUUGCUGGAGAUACUAUUAGACUUGAGACCGGGAGAGGUUAGAGGUACUCCCAGGGUAGAGGUGAAAUUCUGUAAUCCUGGGAGGACCGCCUGUUGCGAAGGCGUCUAACUGGAACGGUUCUGACGGUGAGGGACGAAAGUUAGGGGCGCGAACCGGAUUAGAUACCCGGGUAGUCCUAACUGUAAACGAUGCGGACUUGGUGUUGGGGUGGCUUUGAGCUGCUUCAGUGCCGAAGGGAAGCUGUUAAGUCCGCCGCCUGGGAAGUACGGUCGCAAGACUAAAACUUAAAGGAAUU
rnacentral:rRNA from 1 species